UAUUGUACUGUUCUUCCUGCAGCUUAGCUUAGUAGAACCCUACACUGAGAAAAAACCCUUCUUUUUUUAAGGGUUUUUGCUUCUUAGCUUCGAAUUUCAAAAUGGGAACUGAUUCCACUCUCGCCGGCAAGGAAGUCCCCAUCAUCGGAACCGACGUCUUUCGGUGGAUCGAACUCUCCGUCCCUUCUUCCUCCUCCAACAUCCCCAGCGCCGUCGACGGCACCAACGCCACCACAAUUGCUCCUCCCACCGUUGACGACCGCGCUUCCUGCUUCGUCCUCGAAGAUCCUUCAGCUUAUCUAAUUUGGAGAAUCCACAAGUUGCAGCCUCAUGCUCUUGAGCUUCUUGAGCUCAAUGCUUCGAAGGAAUUACCCAAAGCCGGUCUCAGAUUCAUAUUCCCUUACCAGCUUUGUCCAUUUGCAUUCGUCUGCAAAAAUGAGAUUAGUAGGAAUUCUAGGUUUCCUUACUUGUUAUAUGUGUUGACUGUGACUGGGGUGGCCUAUCUUUUGAAAAUUCGGAAUGUUUCGGCUUAUGCAUCGAGUGCCCUCUUCCCAGCAGAGGAUCUUUUCGAGCUUAAUGUGUGCGAUUAUGUUUCUAAUCAUGUGCCGAUAACUGCUGUUACUGCAACGGCUGGGUGUGUUGUUGUUGGCAGAAGUGAUGGUUCUGUGUGCUGUUUCCGCCUUGGCGUGAUUGACACAAGUGCUCCUGGUUUUGUGCAUGAGCUGAGAGAUGAAGCUGGAGUCAGCCGUUUGUGGGGUUUGAUGUCACGGGGUAAAAUGGUGGGUGCUGUACAGGACAUGGAAAUAUCUGAGUUACAUGGGAAAAGGUUUGUGUUUGUGCUUCAUUCAGAUGGGACAUUACGAAUUUGGGAUCUUUCAUCUCAUAGCAGGGUCUUUAAUCAUACCGUAACAGGUGCUACCUUUCGAAGGUUAUGGGUGGGUCAAUUUGACCCUGAUUCAAGUACAAUUCCUCUGUCAAUUUUAUACAAACACGGUUUGGAUGAAGAGUUGGAGAUGAUUUCUUUACAUAGUAUCCGAUAUAAUUUUGGGGAGAGAAAUGUUUUUUCUAUGGAUCCUUCAGUGCAAAAUAUCACCUUGGAGGAGGGACAAUGCCUUGACGUUAAAAUAACACUGGAUAAGAUAUGGAUAUUGAAAGAUGAUGAAUUGGUUUCACACAUGUUAACAACAAACGUUGAGGAGGUAGAAGCAUUUUCUUAUGCUUUACAAGAAGAAGUUGUUGCUGAUCAGCUGUUUCAAAGUUCAGAACAUCAAGCAGAUGAAAUCUUGCAAAUUGCAUGUUCAAUAUUUUCAUCUUCAAAGGAGGAUGUUGUGCCAUUUAUAUCUUCUAUAUUCCUGCGCAAACUGCUUCUUCCUGGGGUGCAUCAUAAUGCUGCUUUGCAUGCAACACUUGCUGAAUAUAGCAGGCAUUUGCCUGAAUCUGACUUACAAGCAUUAACUGCUGAUGGACUAAAACAGGAGGUUCUGUCACUCAUUGAACAUGAGGUUGGUUCUGAAAAGCUGUCCAUACUGCAUUCUUGGAAAUGUUUUCUGACCCGCUAUUUCCACAAUUGGUGCAAGAACAAUGCAAUAUAUGGCUUGCUUGUUGAUUCUUCAACUGAUGCUGUUGGUUUAAUCAGAAAAAGUUCGGUUUCAAUUUUUCGGUCUUUGGAAGAUAUUGAGCGGAUUGUAGAAGGGUCUUCAGAUGAAGUUGGUGAGCUCACAGGCCUUGUGGAUUUACUUGAUGAUGAUCUUGAAUGUGAAAUUCUGGUCGAAUUACUUAGAUGUGUUAUGAGUUUCAGCCAACAGUUGGGCAAAACUGCAUCCUCUAUUUUUUAUGAAUCAGUUUUAACUGCACCAGUGAUUUCAUCUGAAGACAUUGUUCACUGUAUAGUGAAGAUUCUGGAAACUGGAUCUUGUAUAUCAGGGCCCAAUGAGAAGGAGCUUAUAGAUCACAAAAGCUUGAGAAAACUUUCUGCUGAAAUGUUCUUAUCUCUUCAAAGCUUGUACAGAAAGGCUUCUGCAUGGAGCAGAAUUUUAAAUGUAAUUCAGGGUUUCUUGAAAUUUUUGGUUCCACAGAAAAUAAUACAAAAUUUUGAUACUGAAGUGUCAUCAAAUAUAAACUCCUCCAUUAUAGUGCAUACUACUUAUCAGAUUUCGAAAGUGAUGUUUGAAUCUGCCUGGGAUUUCCUUCUAUUUUUAAGUUAUCUGGUGGACAUCGGUGGUCAGGUCCACUUGUCACAUGAUGAUAUCACCAAAAUACAACUUGAGAUAGUUCCAAUGCUUCAAGAAAUUAUUUUUGAAUGGCUAAUCAUCAACUUCUUUGCCAUCACACCAUCUGCACCAGCUACAACUGAGGACUUCAAUUCUAAACUUUCAUCAUUACAUAUAGAUUGCAACACGGGGAAACAAUUAUGGAAUGAGAAGCUUGGUAGACGCGACUUUACAUUGGCUUUUAUAUUGCUGCUAAAUGUUAGAAGUUCAUCAACAGACCAUGGCCACCUUUUAAAAAGAUUUCCAAAUAUGCAGAGCUUUGUUAACAGGAUGAGAGACUUUAUCAGUUGGAUCAUAUGGGGCCAGUCUGGUGGAUCAUCUAAUUUCCUGAGUCGUUCAAUUGAUCUUGCAUUUAUCCUUUUCAAGCAUGGCCAGUAUGAGGCUGCUGAGCAAUUGCUCAUGAUGGCGGAAGCACAUCUUCUAAAGGAGAAGACAUCCCAAAGUAUUCAAGAAUCUGAUGGUGGAUGGUGCAUACGCCAACAUCUUCUAGGAUGCUGCCUCCUUGCACAGGUGCAGUGUGGAUUGCAUACAACACAGAAGGACAACAAGGUUUUUGAUGCCAUUCGCUGUUUCUUCAGAUCUUCAUCUGGAAAUGGUGCAUCCGAGGCUUUGCAGAGUUUGUCUGAAGAUGUCGGAAUUCCGUAUCUUGGUUUUAGUGGUUGUGCAUCAACGGCUGCUUGGAAGCUUCAAUACUAUCAAUGGGCUAUGCAGUUAUUUGAACGAUAUAGUAUUAGUGAAGGUGCUUGCCAGUUUGCUCUUGCUGCACUUGAACAAGUUGAUGAAGCUAUGAAAGAUGAGAAUAACCCGGUUAAUGGAUCCAUUACAACCACAAGGGGCCGACUAUGGGCGAAUGUCUUCAUAUUUGCAUUAGACCUUGGUCGCUAUUAUGAUGCUUAUUGUGCAAUAGUUUCAAAUCCAGAUGAGGAGAGCAAAUACAUCUGCUUGAGGCGUUUCAUAAUUGUUCUUUACGAACAAGGUGCUAUAAAGAUUCUUUGUAGCAAUAAACUUCCCCUUAUUGGGCUAGUGGAAAAGGUAGAGCAAGAGCUUGCUUGGAAGGCUGAACGAUCAGAUAUUUCUGCAAAGCCAAACUUGUACAAGUUGCUCUAUGCAUUUCAAAUGCAUCAGCAUAAUUGGCGACGAGCAGCAAAUUACAUGUAUAUGUAUUCAACUCGUUUGAGAACUGAAGCUGCUUCAAAAGAUUACCAAGGCAGUUCAUUGAUGUUGCAAGAGAGGCUGAAUGCACUCUCCGCUGCUAUCAAUUCACUACACCUUGUUCAUCCUGCAUAUGCCUGGAUUGAUCCACCAGCUAAUGGAAGUUCUCUUCUUGGUGAACAUUACCCAAGUAAGAAAGCUAAAAGAAUACCUGAAGAUCAUUCAGCUGAUAAUGAUGCUGAGCCUGAAAGGUGGCAGUCUUGUAUUGAUGUUGAAAAACUCGAGAAUGAGUUUGUGCUAACUUCAGCAGAGUAUAAGCUAUCGCUGGUAAAUGUCAAGUGGACAUUUUCUGGCAAAGAUGGAGCCCUAUCAGAUUUGGCUGAACUUCUUGUCAACAAUAAUUUGUAUGAUAUGGCCUUCACGAUCCUUCUCAGAUUUUUCAAGGGUUCAGCACUGAAGAGGGAAUUGGAAAGAGUUUUAUCUGCUAUUUCAUUGAGAUGCUGUCUUGAUAAAGUAGAAUCUACUUGGGUUGAGGAACAUGGCCAGUUAGUGACGUCUUCUAAGCUUGAGAUGGUUGUCCAUGGUUCACCUGUUACACAUCACACAACUCCACAAACUGACGGUAGUAGUUGCUGGGCAACUCUGAAGAUUUACCUUGAAAAAUAUAAGGAAUUUCAUGGGAGAUUGCCUGUUAUUGUUGCCGAAACUCUUCUACGUGCAGAUCCUCAGAUUGAAUUGCCCCUUUGGCUGGUUCAGUUGUUCAAGGAGGGACAAAAGGAAAGGAUGUCCGGUAUGAGUGGCCGGGAGUCAAAUCCUGCAUCUUUAUUUCAGCUUUAUGUUAGCUAUGGUCGAUAUACAGAAGCUACUAAUCUUUUGCUCGAGUGCAUACAAUCGUUUGCUUCAGUGAGGCCAGCGGAUAUUAUUAGAAGGAAAAGAUCCUUUGCUGCUUGGUUCCCAUACACGACAAUCGAGCGCCUACUAUACCAACUUGAGGAAUUGACUAGAAAGGGUCACAUGGUAGAACAAUGCGACAAGCUCAAAAGGAUGCUUCUCAGUUCUUUGCAAAACCAUCUAAAGACACUAAAGGUGGACUCAGAAGAUGCAAUUUCUGUAUCUUCAUGAUUACUAGCUUGUUGGUUAGUGGUUACCAGAUGCUGUAAAGGGUAGCGAUACAAGUAUAUUCACUAUUUCUUUUUUAUGACACUUCCUAAAGAUGAUUACCUCUGUUAACUGACGCGUAAUCCAGCAAAUAGAGCGUUGACACAAUGCUCCAAUGUUAUGGAUGAAGUCAUGGCAGAAA